AUUGAACGCUGGCGGCAGGCCUAACACAUGCAAGUCGAACGAGUGGCGGACGGGUGAGUAAUGUCUGGGAAACUGCCUGAUGGAGGGGGAUAAAUACUGGAAACGGUAGCUAAUACCGCAUACCAUCGGAUGUGCCCAGAUGGUAUUAGCUAGUAGGUGGGGUAAAGGCUCACCUAGUCGACGAUCCCUAGCUGGUCUGGGAGGAUUACCAGUGAUACUGGAACUGAGAAACGGUGCAGACUCAUACGAGAGGCAGCAGUGGGGAAUAUUGCACAAUGGGCGCAAGCCUGAUGCAGCCAUGCCGCGUGUAUGAAGAAGGCCUUCGGGUUGUAAAGUACUUUCAGCGGGGAGGCGUUGCCCGCUGAAGAAGCACCGGCUAACUCCGUGCCAGCAGCCGCGGUAAUUC
rnacentral:rRNA from 1 species